UGCGUAGACGGUUGCAUAAGUCAGAUGUGAAAGCCCCGGGCUCAACCUGGGAAUUGCAUUUGAGACUGUGUAGCUAGGGUGCGGAAGAGGGAAGCGGAAUUUCCGGUGUAGCGGUGAAAUGCGUAGAUAUCGGAAGGAACACCAGUGGCGAAAGCGGCUUCCUGGUCCAGCACCGACGUUCAGGCACGAAAGCGUGGGGAGCAAACA
rnacentral:rRNA from 1 species